rnacentral:rRNA from 1 species
AACGAACGCUGGCGGCAUGCCUAACACAUGCAAGUCGAACGAGACCUUCGGGUCUAGUGGCGCACGGGUGCGUAACGCGUCGGAACCUGCCCUUAGGUUCGGAAUAACUCCCCGAAAGGGGUGCUAAUACCGGAUAAUGUCUUCGGACCAAAGAUUUAUCGCCUUUGGAUGGGCCCGCGUUGGAUUAGCUAGUUGGUAGGGUAAAAGCCUACCAAGGCGACGAUCCAUAGCUGGUCUGAGAGGAUGAUCAGCCACACUGGGACUGAGACACGGCCCAGACUCCUACGGGAGGCAGCAGUGGGGAAUAUUGGACAAUGGGCGAAAGCCUGAUCCAGCAAUGCCGCGUGAGUGAUGAAGGCCUUAGGGUUGUAAAGCUCUUUUACCCGGGAUGAUAAUGACAGUACCGGGAGAAUAAGCGCCGGCUAACUCCGUG